GACGAACGCUGGCGGCAUUCCUAAUACAUGCAAGUCGAGCGGACUUGAUGAGAAGCUUGCUUCUCAGAUAGUUAGCGGCGGACGGGUGAGUAACACGUAGGCAACCUGCCCUCAAGCUUGGGACAACUACCGGAAACGGUAGCUAAUACCGAAUACUUGUUUUCUUCGCCUGAAGGAAACUGGAAAGACGGAGUAAUCUGUCACUUGGGGAUGGGCCUGCGGCGCAUUAGCUAGUUGGUGAGGUAACGGCUCACCAAGGCGACGAUGCGUAGCCGACCUGAGAGGGUGAUCGGCCACACUGGGACUGAGACACGGCCCAGACUCCUACGGGAGGCAGCAGUAGGGAAUCGUCCGCAAUGGGCGAAAGCCUGACGGAGCAAUGCCGCGUGAGUGAUGAAGGUUUUCGGAUCGUAAAGCUCUGUUGCCAGGGAAGAACGCUUGGGAGAGUAACUGCUCCCAAGGUGACGGUACCUGAGAAGAAAGCCCCGGCUAACUACGUGCCAGCCGCCGCCGUAA
rnacentral:rRNA from 1 species